rnacentral:lncRNA from 12 species
AUGUUGGACUUUACUUGGAAAUGUGAAACCUAUGUUUGGUGUCAGGUACAUAGUUUGGAGAAAAAGCUACAAAUGGAUGAGAAACAGCUUUCAGUAAUCAGAAGAUCAAGCCAGCAAUUUGAAUCUACCAGGAGGGGAAAAUCACCUAUGUACAACAGAUACCCUGCAUUCGCCUGGCUACCAACCAACACUGAUCAGCUGCUGCUCGCUAUUCUACAGCCACCUGGUCUUAUCGCUGACAUUUGAAUUUGGAAGGAGUACUUGCUUCUUUCUAAAUAUUCCAGAUAUUAUCCCCUAUUUAUACUGUAUCUGGCUUCAGCAUUGACUGUAACAGAAAUGUCAAAAGCUCCCUGGUUUUUCUAUGAAAUACAAUAAAGUGCUUGGAGGGUCUUGAGGGGUCUAUGGC